AGCCGGGCGGAACCACUGUUCGCGCCGCCGUGUUUCCGGGCGGGGACACUCAGGGCGCGACGCUUUUCUGUUACCCACAGAGGCCCGCCGCGGCUGCGCCAUCCGCGGCCAUGAAGUUUCGGGCCAAGAUCGUGGACGGGGCCUGUCUGAACCACUUCACACGUGAGCAGGGAGGCCGGAGAGGAGCGAGGGAGGAACGGAAGGAAGCAGUGAGCGCGCGGAAUCAGUAACAUGAUAGCCAAGCUUGCCAAAACCUGCACCCUCCGCAUCAGCCCUGAUAAGCUUAACUUCAUCCUUUGUGACAAGCUGGCUAAUGGAGGAGUGAGCAUGUGGUGUGAGCUGGAACAGGAGAACUUCUUCAACGAAUUUCAAAUGGAGGGUGUCUCUGCAGAAAACAAUGAGAUUUAUUUAGAGCUAACAUCGGAAAACUUAUCUCGAGCCUUGAAGACUGCCCAGAAUGCCAGGGCUUUGAAAAUCAAACUGACUAAUAAACACUUUCCCUGCCUCACGGUCUCCGUGGAGCUGUUAUCUAUGUCAAGCAGUAGCCGCAUUGUGACCCAUGACAUCCCCAUAAAGGUGAUUCCUAGGAAAUUGUGGAAGGACUUACAAGAACCGGUGGUCCCAGAUCCUGAUGUUAGUAUUUAUUUACCAGUCUUGAAGACUAUGAAGAGUGUUGUGGAAAAAAUGAAAAACAUCAGCAAUCACCUUGUUAUUGAAGCAAACCUAGAUGGAGAAUUGAAUUUGAAAAUAGAAACUGAAUUAGUAUGUGUUACAACUCAUUUUAAAGAUCUUGGAAAUCCUCCAUUAGCCUCUGAAAGCACCCAUGAAGACAGAAACGUGGAACACAUGGCUGAAGUGCACAUAGAUAUUAGGAAGCUCCUACAGUUUCUUGCUGGACAACAAGUAAAUCCCACAAAGGCCUUAUGCAAUAUUGUGAAUAACAAGAUGGUGCAUUUUGAUCUGCUUCAUGAAGACGUCUCCCUUCAGUAUUUCAUCCCUGCCCUGUCCUAGCACCCUGUCGCUGGAGUUGGCAUGCAGAGACUUUGUCAGGAUGGAAGAGGCCUGCAUCGGAUCUGUCGUUCUGGAAAGAAGACCCUUCUAUUUAGAGUAGAAACAAACGAAACUUCUAAGGUAUCAUCUGUGUUAAGUGAUGAGACCAUAUUUCUUUGAUGUUUCUGAACAUCAAAGCUGAUUCAGUACUGGUAGAUGUGCUCAUUCUCCCUGAAACAUACCCAUCAUAUUUCCUAUUAUAAUUACAUCUCAUUGUGCUGUGGAGGUGGACAUGAUAAACAUUAUCUUUUGUUUUCUUGUUUUGUUUUGUUUGAGACAGGGUCUCAUUCUGUCACCCAGACUGGAGUGCAGUGCCACAAUCAUGGCUCACCGCCUUGACCUCCUUGGCUCAAGGCAUCCUCCCACCUCAGCUUCCUGACUAGCUGGGACUACUGGUGUGCACCACCACACCCAGCUAAUUUUCAAUUUUUCAUAGAGACAGGGUCUCACUGUGUUGUCCAGGCUGGUCUUGAACUCCUGGGCUCAAGCCACCCGCCCACCUGGGCCUCCCAAAGUGCUGGUAUUACAGGCAUCAGCCAUCACACCCAUCCAUAAACAUUAUAUUAAUGUCACAUUACAAAACUGAGACCUAAGUUGCUUAGGAUAAAAUGAAAUUGGAAGCCUAGCUAACAUGAAAAUUUAUAUUUUGGCUUUUUCAUGUUUUUUGAUAAAACCAGUGUAUUUGAAUGAUUCUUUUGAUGUUUAAUAAUGGUUUUUUGUUUGUUUUUUGGUUGUUUUUUUUGAGACGGAGUCUCACUCUGUCGCCAGUCUGGAGUGCUAGUGGCGCGAUCUUGGCUUACUGCAGCCUCCACCUCCCAAGUUCAAGUGAUUCUCCUGCCUCAGCCUCCCGAGUAGCUGGGACUACAGGCGCAUGCCACCACGCCCGGCUAAUUUUUGUAUUUUUAGUAGAGACGGAGUUUCACUGUGUUGGCCAGGAUGGUCUCGAUCUCGACCUCGUGAUCACCCACCUUGGCCUCUCAAAGUGCUGGGAUUACAGGUGUGAGCCACCACGCCUGGCCUAUGUUUAAUAAUGUUGAAAUAGGAUGGAAUAUUUUGUUAAAUUAACAUUUUAAAAUUAGAAGACACCGUUUUAAUUUUUAAACCCUUCCUCCUCUCAUUGUAAUGAAAUUAAUUCCAGCUGCAGUGAGAAAACUUAAAAAUCAUGAUACAAAAUGAAACAAUAUCUGAAAGUAGUUUUAUAAAACUGAAAUUGCUGUUAAAGAGAAUGUGUUAGUGACUUAACCAUUUGCUCUAUGUGAUGUUUAUUAUCAAAUACAUAUAAUUUUGAAGAUUUUAAUGAAUGGCUUAAGAUUUUAUCCUUGUGUAGAAUGUGGCUAAAGAAACCUUAGUUGAGAUUCAAGAA